CCCCACAAAUGUGGGACCGCAAACAAAACCCCACAACAGCACCCCAAACAUACGGGGCGGUGAGGGGCACCCCAUAACCACCCCAUACAUAUGGGGACACGGAGGGAGCCCUAUAACCCCCACCCUAUAAAUAUGGGAUCACUGAGGGACCCCCCACAGCCACCCUAUAGAUAUAGGAUCAGUGAGGGACCCCCAUAACCACCCCAUACAUAUGGAGACACUGAGGGACCCCAUAACCCCCACCCUAUAGAUAUGGGGGCAGCCAAGGAAACCCCGUAACCACCCCAUAGAUAUGGGGACACUUAGAGACCCCAUAACCCCCACCCCAUAGAUAUGGGGGCAGCCAAGGAAACCCCGUAACCACCCCAUACAUAUGGGGACACUUAGAGAACCUACAACCCCCACCCCACAGAUAUGGGGUCAAUGAGGGACACCCCAAAACCCCCAUCCCAUAGAUAUGGGGUCAGUGAGGGACACCCCAAAAACCAUGACCCCAUAGAUAUGGGGAUGCUGAGGGACACCCCAUAACCCCACCCCAUAGAUUUGGAGUCAGCCAAGGAAACCCCACAACCACCCCAUACAUAUCGGGACACGGAGGGAGCCCUAUAACCCCCACCCGAUAAAUAUGGGAUCACUGAGGGAGCCCCCACAGCCACCCCAUAGAUAUAGGAUCAGUGAAGGAAACCCCAUAACCACCCCAUAGAUAUGGGGACACUGAGAGAACCCCAUAAUCCCCGCCCCAUAGAUAUGGGAUCAAUGAGAACCCCAUAACCAUCCCAUAAAUAUGGGGACACUUAGAGACCCCAUAACCCCCACCCCAUAGAUAUGGGGUCAAUGAGGAACACCCUAUAACCCCCACCGCAUUGAUAUGGGGUCAGCCAAGGAAACCCCAUAACCGCCCCAUAGAUACGGGGUCAAUGAGAGACCCCAAAGCCCCCACCCCAUAGAUAUGGGGUCAAUGAGGGACACCCCAGAACCCCCACCCCAUACAUAUGGGGUCAGCCAAGGAAACCCCAUAACCACCCCAUAGAUAUGGGGUCAAUCAGAGACCCCAUAACCCCCACCCCAUAGAUAUGGGGAUGCUGAGGGACCCCACAAGCCCCACCCUAUAAAUAUGGGGUCACUGAGGUACCCCCCAUAACUCCCACCCCAUAGAUAUGGGGUCAGCGAAGGAAACCCCAUAACUACCCCAUAGA
rnacentral:lncRNA from 1 species